rnacentral:rRNA from 2 species
UCGGGAAUAUUGGACAAUGGGGGAAACCCUGAUCCAGCCAUGCCGCGUGUGUGAAGAAGGCCUUCGGGUUGUAAAGCACUUUCAGUAGUGAGGAAGGGACCUGGGCGAAUAUCCCGGGUUCUUGACGUUAGCUACAGAAGCAGCACCGGCUAACUCCGUGCCAGCAGCCGCGGUAAUACGGAGGGUGCGAGCGUUAAUCGGAAUUACUGGGCGUAAAGCGCGCGUAGGCGGUUUGGUAAGUCGGAUGUGAAAGCCCAGGGCUUAACCUUGGAACUGCAUUCGAUACUGCCUGACUAGAGUAUGGUAGAGGGAGGUAGAAUUCCACGUGUAGCGGUGAAAUGCGUAGAGAUGUGGAGGAAUACCGGUGGCGAAGGCGGCCUCCUGGACCAAUACUGACGCUGAGGUGCGAAGGCGUGGGGAGCGAACAGG